rnacentral:rRNA from 1 species
UUCGCAAUGCCCGAAAGGGUGACGAAGCGACGCCGCGUGGGUGAGGAAGGCCUUCGGGUUGUAAAGCCCUGUCAGGAGUUAAGAAAUAUAAGUGCGCUAAUACCGCAUUUAUUUGACGAAGGCUCCAAAGGAAGUCACGGCUAACUCUGUGCCAGCAGCCGCGGUAAUACAGAGGUGGCAAGCGUUGUUCGGAAUUAUUGGGCGUAAAGAGCACGUAGGUGGGUUUGUAAGUCAGAUGUGAAAGCCUCCUGUUCAACGGGAGAAUUGCAUCUGAAACUACAGAUCUUGAGUGUAGGAGGGGAGAAUGGAACUUCUGGUGGAGCGGUGAAAUGCGUAGAUAUCAGAAGGAACGCCGGCGGCGAAAGCGAUUCUCUGGCCUAUUACUGACACUCAGUGUGCGAAAGCUAGGGGAGCAAACGGGAUUAGAUACCCCGGUAGUCCUAGCCGUAAACGAUGGGCACUAAGUAGAGGGAAUU